GAUGAACGCUAGCGGCAGGCCUAAUACAUGCAAGUCGAACGGUCCACUUCGGUGGAUAGUGGCGCACGGGUGCGUAACACGUAUGCAACCUACCUUACAUUAGGGGAUAGCCUUUCGAAAGGGAGAUUAAUACCGCAUAAGACAGUAACAUGGCAUCAUGUAGCUGUUAAAGAUUUAUCGAUGUAAGCUGGGCAUGCGUCCAAUUAGUUAGUUGGUGAGGUAACGGCUCACCAAGACGAUGAUUGGUAGGGGAACUGAGAGGUCAAUCCCCCACACUGGCACUGAGAUACGGGCCAGACUCCUACGGGAGGCAGCAGUAGGGAAUAUUGGGCAAUGGACGCAAGUCUGACCCAGCCAUGCCGCGUGCAGGAAGAAGGCGUUCUGCGUUGUAAACUGCUUUUAUAUAGGAAGAAACGACCCUUGCGAGGGGCAUUGACGGUAUUAUAUGAAUAAGCACCGGCUAACUCCGUGCCAGCAGCCGCAGUAAGAC
rnacentral:rRNA from 1 species